rnacentral:lncRNA from 1 species
GGUUAAUCAGUCCCAGUCUUGGCCUUGGUGAGCUGGAACAAAGUUGAGUAGAAAGAGCAGGCCUGGGUACAAAUCCCGUCUCUGUCCCUUUGCCUCUUGGAACCUGAAUUUGUUUCCUUGCAUAAUGAGGAUAGAGCCUUCACUGUUGGCUGCCUGGGAGAACAGGAGGGUGGAUUGGAAAAGCAUCAAGCACAGAGCCAGGCACAUAGGAAGUACUCAAUAUACAGUAGUGGCUCUUAUCCCGGCAUAUUAAUUAAGGCUGCCAGGCUGUGAUGGGUGUGGCUUGGGGGCACAGAGGUGCUUAAUAAUCUCUCUGAAAGACCGCUAAGAGAUUUCUUUGGAAUUCUUAGACAAGGUGCCUGCUUUCUGAAACAGGGCAACACCAGAGCACUGGGGCUCAGCCAGUCAUGAGCCAGUUAAGCAGAGAGGAAUGGACACAAGUGGUUGUGCUAGCCCUACCCUCAGGGGCCCUUGCGGGCAUGGGAAGUGAGGCCGAGGGUGUCAGGGGUCACUGGUGGCCACGCUGGCUCUGAAGCACCAGCAGUUCAUUUUAUAAAUCUUCCUGCCCAGGUCUGGGGCCCUUGCUGGUAAAGGGAGGGGAGCAAGCAAGAGGAUCUCCCUGUGAAACUCUGUCCACGCACAGAUGAACUUUGCUCUAUGGGUCAGGAUCGCCCAUUUUGUAUUAUAUUCAUCCCUCCUGCCUCCAGACACGUCUCUCCUCUCUCCCCAGCUCCAGGACAGGCCCAGAGACAUCCGCUUCCAUGAGGAGCCAUCUUUGGAGCAAAAGAAUAGGAACUCCUGAAUAACCUCCACCACAGCUGUGUGCACAGAGCCCAGAACAGUAAAUUGUUCAACACUCAAGGCUCUUGGCUGUUUAACUUCUGUUAGGCAGCAGAGGCCAGGAAACAAGUGGAGAACCAGAAGAGGAAGGAAAGCCCCAGGAGUAGGCUUUACCAAGUGAGUAAAGGAAACUCUUUCCAGGAGAAAUCCAGGGUGGGAGAAGUCCGGAGCCCAGCGACCAUGUGGAGGUGGAAGAGGCUAGCAAGCGUGGCUCCUUCCUCUCCUGAGGGCAGGACCUGUAGGAAGAAAUGAGAGGGUCAAGUCUCAGCUGAGCUUUUCAGUCAAGCUUCUCCUUCAAGGAGCUGCUGGAGGUGCACGUGUCCUCUUUUGCUUGCUCUGCACCCGUGGACAUCUCAGAUCAGCUGCUGGAAUCUAUCCUCUGUCUGCUCUCAUUGCCCUUCA